rnacentral:sRNA from 1 species
AUGAGUUUUUAUUUAUUUUUUGAUUGAAGAGAAAUGCUUGAUUGUCAGAUUUAACGAAGAAAAUCGGAACCCAAUACGUUAGGGCUCAAUUCCCUUGAAAAUCCU